rnacentral:rRNA from 1 species
UGGGGAAUUUUGGACAAUGGGCGCAAGCCUGAUCCAGCCAUGCCGCGUGCGGGAAGAAGGCCUUCGGGUUGUAAACCGCUUUUGUCAGGGAAGAAAUCUUCUGAGUUAAUACCUCGGGAGGAUGACGGUACCUGAAGAAUAAGCACCGGCUAACUACGUGCCAGCAGCCGCGGUAAUACGUAGGGUGCAAGCGUUAAUCGGAAUUACUGGGUGUAAAGCGUGCGCAGGCGGUUUUGUAAGACAGAGGUGAAAUCCCCAGGCUCAACCUGGGAACUGCCUUUGUGACUGCAAGGCUUGAGUGCGGCAGAGGGGGAUGGAAUUCCGCGUGUAGCAGUGAAAUGCGUAGAUAUGCGGAGGAACACCGAUGGCGAAGGCAAUCCCCUGGGCCUGCACUGACGCUCAUGCACGAAAGCGUGGGGAGCAAACAGGAUUAGGUACCCUGGUAGUCCACGCCCUAAACGAUGUCAACUGGUUGUUGGGAGGGUUCCUUCUCAGUAACGUAGCUAACGCGUGAAGUUGGACCGCCUGGGGAGUACGGCCGCAAGGUUGAAACUUAAAUGAA